rnacentral:rRNA from 1 species
GGGCUUACACAAGCGGUGGAGCAUGUGGUUUAAUUCGAUGAUACGCGAGGAACCUUACCAGGGCUUAAAUGCAGAGCGACAGAGGUGGAAACACCUCCUUCUUCGGACGGUCUGCAAGGUGCUGCAUGGUUGUCGUCAGCUCGUGCUGUGAAGUGUCGGGUUAAGUCCCAUAACGAGCGCAACCCCUAUUUCUAGUUGCCAGCGGUUCGGCCGGGGACUCUAGAGAAACUGCCAGCGUAAGCUGUGAGGAAGGUGGGGAUGACGUCAAAUCAUCACGGCCCUUACGUCCUGGGCCACACACGUGCUACAAUGGUAAGGACAGAGAGUUGCCAACCCGCGAGGGUGAGCUAAUCUUUAAACCUCAUCUCAGUUCGGAUCGGAGUCUGCAACUCGACUCCGUGAAGUUGGAAUC